AUCUAGCAGAUGAGUCCAAAAUAGGAUGAAACACACGACCUGGAU
rnacentral:hammerhead_ribozyme from 1 species